UCGGGAAUAUUGCGCAAUGGAGGAAACUCUGACGCAGUGACGCCGCGUAUAGGAAGAAGGUUUUCGGAUUGUAAACUAUUGUCGUUAGGGAAGAAAAAAGACAGUACCUAAGGAGGAAGCUCCGGCUAACUACGUGCCAGCAGCCGCGGUAAUACGUAGGGAGCAAGCGUUAUCCGGAUUUAUUGGGUGUAAAGGGUGCGUAGACGGGAAUUUAAGUUAGUUGUGAAAUCCCUCGGCUUAACUGAGGAACUGCAACUAAAACUGGAUUUCUUGAGUGCAGGAGAGGAAAGCGGAAUUCCUAGUGUAGCGGUGAAAUGCGUAGAUAUUAGGAGGAACACCAGUGGCGAAGGCGGCUUUCUGGACUGUAACUGACGUUGAGGCACGAAAGUGUGGGGAGCAAACAGG
rnacentral:rRNA from 1 species